UACGUAGGGUGCAAGCGUUGUCCGGAAUUAUUGGGCGUAAAGAGCUCGUAGGCGGUUUGUUGCGUCGGCUGUGAAAACCUGAGGCUCAACCUCAGGCCUGCAGUCGAUACGAGCAGACUAGAGUGUUGCAGGGGAGACUGGAAUUCCUGGUGUAGCGGUGAAAUGCGCAGAUAUCAGGAGGAACACCGUUGGCGAAGGCGGGUCUCUGGGCAACAACUGACGCUGAGGAGCGAAAGCGUGGGGAGCGAACAGG
rnacentral:rRNA from 1 species